UCCAGGGUAGCUUAGUGGACAUGGCAUCUGCCCGGUAAGCUGAACACUGUGGGUUCGAUUCCCAUCCCUGGAU